rnacentral:lncRNA from 1 species
UGCGUCUCUGCGGCUCCCCGGCGUGCUUUGGUCCUGCAAGGCUGAAGCGCAGCCGGCUGGUUUGCCUGAGGCUUAAGCUGUGAAGCGAGCGGGUUUGGGAGCGUUGUUGGAGCCUUUGGGGACUUUACUGUUGGUUUUGUUGAGCUGCAGUGAUGCGAGCAGGUGUGGUGUCUGUGCGGAAGGCAGAGCGGUGUGCUGUGCUGCGCGUGAGCUUCGAGGCGGCGGCAGAGGCAGGUGGUGGAAGCGGCCCUGGUGGCUGCUGGCAGCCUCCGUGAGAGCCGUGGGAGCUGUCUGAUGGCUGGGGUUGGUCGUGCCCCCGACUGAAGCAGAAGCGCAGUGGGCAAAGGAAGGGUGACUUGCGGGAUACGAGCAGGGGAUUUUGUGUUUCGGUGGCGUACGGAUCUGUUGCCUUUUCUGAUGUGUUUUUGUGCAUUGGUGUUUCAGGAGUCUGAAUGAGGACUGGAGGAAAAACCCCGCUGGAAUUUGUGCCGAGCAAAGCUCGGGCGAGGAAUGGAUCCACACGCCUUGGUGCUCUGUUUGAGUGGGGAGGAAUGGGCAUGGCUGAAGGAUCCCAUCCUUGAGCUGCAUUAGAAGCAAAUGGUGAUGCCUGGUGGCAGAAGAAAGGGCAGUGGAACGGCUCCGCAGGGCGGUGGUGAUGGCAGCAAGCUGCCAGAGCUCAAGGAGCAUUUGGACAAUGGAAAUAUAUCAAUAAUUGUCACUCCUCUAAGUAAGUUAAGCUUUCGAGUCUUGAGCCAUCAAGCGUUAAAGUCUGAUGUCCUCCUGGGAAGUGCUGCCCUGGAUAUUCAUGAGACUUUGAAAUGA